GGGGUCUGACGUCAGCCAUGUGCGGGGAGGAGAUGGGAAGAGGGAGGGGGUUAAAUGCUAAUGAUAUUAAUGAACCUCCCAGCGGCUCCCAAAGAAAAUGCAGGCGCUCUUGGAGCUGAGGAGUUAAGAGUGUGAAUAUGGGACUCUGCGUGCGUGAUGGUGAGACGGUACUGCUCUGGAGUGCCAGGCAGAUUCAUGGAAGAAAUUGGGUGGCUGUGUUUUGAUUGUGCACGCCGGACAUGAGCUUGUGAGUUAGUUCAUUCUUGGUCCCGUGCUCCUUCUGUUGGGUAAAACUUGGAUCUGAACCGAGGAGGCCCAAAGCUCCAACCAGGGCAGAACACUGGGUGGCAACCACCACGGAAGCCCUGCAGCAGCCCCUGCAGUCAACUGUCUCUCCUUUCCCGGUUGUGGGCACAGCACAUGAGGAACAGGACAUGUGUCUACCCUGAGCCUGUACCACGGCUGCACUUUGGGAGCACACCAUUUGAUGGCACAGGUUUACAACUGGAGAGGAAUUUGCCUCAGGGUGAAUUGUAUUUUGAGUUUCAUCUGCAACUGACUUAGAUGAUAAGGAAUGUUUUCACUAGACACUGACUCCACUGCCGCUUUGAUAUUGUAUAUCUGAAUCUCCAGAGCUGUGAAAAACUUUCUGUGGUUUAAGCCACCUCAUCUAUGGCAUUCAAUAUGACACCCCAAGUGGACUAAUACAACACUUCACCUUGAUGGGCUGGACCAGCUUCCCUGUGGGAUACAUUACCCUGCACCCCCUCUUCCUUGGACAGGGCUGGGCACCUACCCAAGGGGUUCCCAUCAUGGGCCCCUGAAACAGUUCUUCCAUUAAACCCACAAGUAGAGCUUCCUUUUAGGCUUCUUUUCAAUUGUAUAUUCUCCAGGAAUAUGGCAUGCUAGGGUGAUAACUGUAAUACCUGCCUGAGAAGCUGAUUUUGACAAUCAUUUUGAUGCCAGAGGCACCUUCCAAAAAGGACAGGCCUGGAAGGGCUGAAGCAGGACCUCUCAGAAGCAAAGGAAUCCCCAUAGCAAUGGCAAAAAAGGAGGUUGGAGCCCUGGGGAAACUGAGGCAUGCAAGACUAACUUGGCUGGCACUGCAAUUUUCCCCAGGACUUGUGAUCAUGAAAACCUCCCUCCUGUUCCAUGCAAAUCAUCCUGGGGGUGCCCUGUCAUAACUGUCCUCACUGGGGCAAGCACACGUGACUGUUAGGGUAAAUUAUCCUUUCAGACUUACUUAGGUAUUGGGGAGGGUGAUGGUUUGGGUGGAUACAGAGGCAGACAGGGAGUUUCUGGAAGCCACAGUGAUUCCCUUCCUUCCUCUGUUGCUGUCUGUCUCUGGCCCUGCAGCUUCUCAUGUUUGUUCACCUGGGCAGGUGUGCCCAGCCCUCUGCCCAGCUCUCAGCUCUACAAGGCAGGGAUAGGGCUGGUGGGGGGCUUUGCAUCAUCAAACAUCUACCAAUGAAACUCAUGCUGAAAAUUCCUACUCUCAUUUCAAUAAAUGCCAAAACCCCCCACCAAAACCCAAAAAACCCAAAACAAAACCCAAGAAAAGAUUUUUUUUGUUUCAAAUCCUAAAUCAUUAGAUUCAAAUUUGGAUUACUGAGUACAUUAGGGAGUGAAAUGUUCUGACUCAUAAUGUUUCCUGAUAAAAUCUUCAUGUAAACCAGAAAAUGUCUGAGAAACAAACUUGCAUCAAAAAUGUUUUGUUUUUUUGGUACUGGGGAUCAAACUCGGGACCUUGCGCUUGUGAGGCAGGCAACGGAACCACUGAGCUAAAUCCCUGGCCCAUCAAAAAUGUUUUGUAAAUGUUUACUUUCUUCUCUUUGUAAAUGUAGUGACAAUAUUUACAUUUUCCUGGUGAUAUGUAAGUCCCAAGUUUAAAUGAGUUCUGCUGGGCAAGGUGGCACAUACCGAUAAUUCCAGCACAUUAGGAGGCUGAGGCAGGAGGACUGCAAGUUCAAGCCCAGCCUGGGCAACUUAGUGACUUAGUGCAGUCCUGUCUCAAAAUAAAAAAUAAGGCCCAGGGAUUUAUCUCAGUGGUGCCACCGCCUGCCUCAAAGGCUCAAGGUUCUGAGUUCCAUCCGUGGUACCAAAAAAAAAAAAAAAAAAAAAGGAAAAGGGCUGGGGAUGUAACUCAGUGUGAAGGCCCUUGUUCAAUCUCUAGUACCUUAAUAGAUAGGCAGGUAGAUAGAGAUAGAUAGAUAGAUAGAUAGAUAGAUAGAUAGAUAGAUGGAGGAAAUCACAGGGAUGGAUGAGCAGUACUGGUUCAAGGUCAGAACUCCCCUCUGCCCAGGUAUGUAAUGACAGGAGACUCAAGUGCAUUGCAGAACCUCUCUGAGCUCUACUUUUCCAAUAUGAUAAGGGGAAAUGGAGGUAAUCAUGCUCGUCUUUUUAGCUCAG
ensembl:lncRNA